ACCUGACUGCUAUCGGAUUGAUACUAAGCCAUGCGAGUCAUUGUAGCAAUACAAGGCAUACGGCUCAGUAACGCGUAGUCAACCUAACCUAUGGACGGGAAUAACCUCGGGAAACUGAGAAUAAUGCCCGAUAGAACAUUAUACCUGGAAUGGUUUAUGUUCCAAAUGAUUUAUCGCCAUAGGAUGGGACUGCGGCCUAUCAGUUUGUUGGUGAGGUAAUGGCCCGCCAAGACUAUUACAGGUACGGGCUCUGAGAGGAGUAGCCCGGAGAUGGGUACUGAGACACGGACCCAGGCCCUAUGGGGCGCAGCAGGCGAGAAAACUUUGCAAUGUGCGAAAGCACGACAAGGUUAAUCCGAGUGAUUUCUGCUAAAGAGAUCUUUUGUUAGUCCUAGAAACACUAACGAAUAAGGGGUGGGCAAGUUCUGGUGUCAGCCGCCGCGGUAAAACCAGCACCUCAAGUGGUCAGGAUGAUUAUUGGGCCUAAAGCAUCCGUAGCCGGCUCUGUAAGUUUUCGGUUAAAUCUGUACGCUCAACGUACAGGCUGCCGGGAAUACUGCAGAACUAGGGAGUGGGAGAGGUAGACGGUACUCGGUAGGAAGUGGUAAAAUGCUUUGAUCUAUCGAUGACCACCUGUGGCGAAGGCGGUCUACCAGAACACGUCCGACGGUGAGGGAUGAAAGCUGGGGGAGCAAACCGGAUUAGAUACCCGGGUAGUCCCAGCUGUAAACUAUGCAAACUCAGUGAUGCAUUGGCUUGUGGCCAAUGCAGUGCUGCAGGGAAGCCGUUAAGUUUGCCGCCUGGGAAGUACGUACGCAAGUAUGAAACUUAAAGGAAUUGGCGGGGGAGCACCACAAGGGGUGAAGCCUGCGGUUC
rnacentral:rRNA from 1 species